GGAAGUAAAAGUCGUAACAAGGUUUCCGUAGGUGAACCUGCGGAAGGAUCAUUACUGAUUUAGCGAACCGAGCGUUAGCGAGGUUUUGCGAUCAACUUGUAUUUAAAACCCACUCUUCAAUGUAUAAAAUUUGUAUUAAUGAUAAAUUAAAAGAUCACUUUCAACAACGGAUCUCUUGGCUCUCGCAUCGAUGAAGAACGUAGCGAAGUGCGAUAAGUAAUGUGAAUUGCAGUAUUCCGUGAAUCAUCGAACCCUUGAACGCAUAUUGCACUUUCUGGUAUUCCGGAAAGUAUGCCUGUUUGAGGGUCAGUUAAAUAAAAAUCGGUGUUGUUGCCGCUUUCCGUGGUGACGCGUCGGAAUUGAGUCGUCUUCGGUUAAGUGACUUAAAAUUUUAUAUGAUUUUCGAACGUAUUUAAAUUUAUUUGAACGUCUGAUAUCGAAUGCUUAUUAGGUUCGGUCAUCCUCAUGACUCGCGCCUAUAAUUUUUCAUUAAAUGACCUCAAAUCAGGUAAGAAUACCCGCUGAACUUAAGCAUAUCAAUAAGCGGAGGA
rnacentral:rRNA from 1 species